AGAAUGAACGCUGGCGGCAUGCCUAACACAUGCAAGUCGAACGAAAUCCUUCGGGGUUUAGUGGCGCACGGGUGCGUAACGCGUGGGAAUCUGCCCCUUGGUUCGGAAUAACAGUUGGAAACGACUGCUAAAUACCGGAUGACGACGUAAGUCCAAAGAUUUAUCGCCGAGGGAUGAGCCCGCGUAGGAUUAGGUAGUUGGUGUGGUAAAGGCGCACCAAGCCGACGAUCCUUAGCUGGUCUGAGAGGAUGAUCAGCCACACUGGGACUGAGACACGGCCCAGACUCCUACGGGAGGCAGCAGUGGGGAAUAUUGGACAAUGGGCGAAAGCCUGAUCCAGCAAUGCCGCGUGAGUGAUGAAGGCCUUAGGGUUGUAAAGCUCUUUUACCCGGGAUGAUAAUGACAGUACCGGGAGAAUAAGCUCCGGCUAACUCCGUGCCAGCAGCCGC
rnacentral:rRNA from 1 species